rnacentral:misc_RNA from 1 species
GUAGGUGAACCUGCGGAAGGAUCAUUAUCGUGGGGCUCCGGCCCUAUCGAGAUAGAACCCUUGCCUUUUUUGUACCGUCCGUUUCCUCGGCAGGCUCGCCUGCCAAUGGGGACCCCAAUAAACUCUUUUUUUACCUGUAUCAGUCUGAAAAAUAAACAAAAGUUAAAACUUUCAACAACGGAUCUCUUGGUUCUG